rnacentral:rRNA from 1 species
CCUACGGGAGGCAGCAGUGGGGGAUAUUGCACAAUGGGCGGAACCCUGAUGCAGCGACGCCGCGUGGGUGAAGGAGGGUUUCGGCGCGUAAAGCCCUAUCGGCAGGGAAGAAGAUGACGGUACCUGGCCAAGAAGCCCCGGCUAACUACGUGCCAGCAGCCGCGGUAAUACGGAGGGUGCAAGCGUUAUCCGGAUUUACUGGGUGUAAAGGGGGCGCAGGCGGCAUUGCAAGCAAGGAGUGAAACCCCGGGGCCCAACCCCGGGACUGCGCUUGGAACUGGAUGGCUGGAGUACAGGAGGGGCAGGCGGAAUUCCUAGUGUAGCGGUGAAAUGCGUAGAUAUUAGGAGGAACACCGGUGGCGAAGGCGGCCUGCUGGACUGUGACUGACGUUGAGGCCCGAAGGCGUGGGGAGCGAACAGGAUUAGAUACCCCGGUAGUC